GGGAGCGGUUCUCGAGCUGGUGCCGGGCCCGGAUUUCAAAUCCGGUGGAACGGGCAAAUAACCCGUUUGGUGGGUUCGAUUCCCAUGCGCUCCCGCCA
rnacentral:tRNA from 1 species